AUAAAUGCUCUAAGUUAUGAUAAGUAACGAUAUUCCCAACCCCCCAGAUUAAGGCUUAGUUUUUACUAAAUGCAUUUUUUAAGAAAUAUUUUUUCAAUUUCAGCCUGGAACUACUUUGGUUCCCACAAGCACUUUUAAACCCCAAACUGUGGUUGGACUGACCACUUAUUUUUCUGGCAAAGUAAAGGAGUUCUAUCUAAACCCAAAAACAUAACCACAUCACGUGGGUAAUUAGCACAACAUCAUCAUCAAAACCCAUACAAGCCUCAUAAAUCACUCCUCCGUAGUUUAACAGCCUUAACUCUGACAGGUAAAGUGAGCAGAACUUCGGGCAGAAGCCAGUUCAAAGCACUGACAUUUCAGCCGCUUCCCACUCAUGUGGGAAACUUUACUUAAUUCUACAUGCUCCAAGUACUGUUGGAGCACAUCACAUCGACUUCAUCACAGCGACUUCACUACCAAGCAACACUACAGUAUUCUAACGUGCAGAGAAUGCCCAUCUCUGUGAUCAUUCUGCAGUAUUGAGAUGGUCAACUCACAUUUCACAGAUACGUUGCUGACUCACCUAGACUGCAGCUUAAAGACAGCUUGCUAAAUAAUUUAUUAGAACUAAAAUUAACAGUUAUUUGCAUUUGUGAGGAGUUGCAGGCGCACAGCUCCCAGAAGCCUGCCAGCCAAGCAGGUAUCCCAGAGGACAGACCCAUUCACCAACUGCCAUGAAGAAACACCCUUGGUUGGUUUUUUUUUCCCCUUUGUAAUUUUUGGAAGCUUCUUUUUCCUGCAAUAUGAAAGCACACAUGACAAUAAAAGCACAAAGACCCAAAUUACCUGCUCAGUGUUUUCACAGUAAAUGCCUUCCACAAGCCUGUCACCCAGCACUACAAGCACUGCUCAGAUUAGCAAGUUUUUCUGAAGGCUUCAAAAUGAAAUCUCUGUUUACACUGAAGAAAAUACUGAAUUUAAUACAGUAAGGCUGUAUUGUAAGUUUCGACAAUACAGUGAAAAAUAUUUUUAGCUGACAGUUUUACAUCCGAGUUUCCCAGGGUGAUUAGUAUUGCCACAAGUUCAACAAAUACCUUCUGUUCAUUGUUCGCAUAGUGAAAACAGCUGCAAGAUCAACUGGAAUGACAUAGUUAUACAGCCACAGAUUUGGCAUUCAGUACUCCCGGAUGAAUCUGGCCCUAUUAACAAAAAGUACAAUUUUCAUGAUGGUACACCAACGCUGCUGAGUCACAAUGUGUGUUCGCUGGAAAUAGUUCAUCACAAUUGCACAACUGUCUCUGGAGAUCACUUGUAACUCUUGCCAGUUAGUUCACAGACAGAACUUGAAUAUAUAUUUUAGAAAGGAAACUCUGUGAAUCCCACCUUAAAAGACAGUGUAGCUAUCUAUAUAGACAAACCUGAGUUUCAGCGUCACGUACUCUAGGACUAAGGUCAAGUAUUCAUACUGCAGGUUCCCUGCAACAAUAAUUUCUUGCUGUGUGCCUACACAGUGCCAGAACGUAUGUUGCGACAUGACCAUCCCCGAGUACAGCCAGCAACUUCUAGAUGCUGCCCUAACACACCAUAAGUAUUUCUGGUACCUUGCUUUUCAACCUGCCCUCAGGUUGUAUUGUGUCAAAUGCAGGUCAGUGAGAACUGCUUCUUCCUCUCACAGCAAAGUUAAAUAAAAAAAGGGAGAGAAAAAAGCUCCAUUGUUUUUAGAGUCAUUUUAUGUGUAGCAUUCAAAGCAGAGAAAUAUCUAUAUACAGAUGAAAUAACUUUUUUCAUAAAUAACAUUGGUGGGGCUUGAUAAAAAUAUGAACAUUGCUUGCUGCAGUUUUAACUCGCACUACUCAGUCAAGAUCUAUCAUAUCAGGCAGUGGUGUGCAAACUACUUAGCUAUUUAAUUAAUCUGAUGUACAGUGAAAACUUUCAACUUACAGGCUUCUUCACAGUUUUUUGCCUCAUACAGAUUCUUCCACGGUACAACACUCCAGCAUGCAAAGAUUUAUGCGGUAGUAUAUUUUAGCCACCUAUGCCAACUUCUAUAGUAAAUCUGCAGUGAAUCUGCAUAUGCAUGAAGUGUUACAUACCUGGGAUAGCUCCAUCCACAGAUUUCCUACAGCUGAAGAACCAGAAGUUACACCUGCAGAACUUGAAAGAAAAUGUAAAAUGAGGCAAAUUUAUUGUCACUGUGAUUAUCAAGCUCCUGGAUUACUGAAACUAAUAUACGACAAUAGAGGAUGGUUUGAUUGCACAGUCAAGCUGCUUGAUAAAGACUAUUUUCUAUAGUUCAGCUCAGCGCUACCAGCUUUUGGCUUCAGAGAAACUACACUAAAUUUCUGCUUCCUAUAAGAACCUCCUUGUGAAGCUAACAAGUGUUCAAAGUUCCUGAAUACAGCAUUGACCGAUAUCAUCAUGAGCUCAAAUAUGGACUUUUGCAUCUAAAACACCUUAGAAGGCAACACUGUUCUAACAGCCCUUGCUACAUGACAGCCUGAUGCCAGUUGCUUGGGAUUUUUGUGAUUAGCGCUCUACAUUUGUGAUCUGCAUCCAAGUGGAAGGAAUAAAGACAACAGAACACAGCUGAAUCCAACAGUAGUUUAUUACACACUCUUGGCAGAUGAAGUUAGACACUUCAGUUACCAGUAAAUAUGAAUUUAAAUAUUAGUCGACAACUGCAGAAAGUGUACAAGUACAAAAAUAUCAUUAACAAUAACCAAAGGUUCUGACAUUAACUUCUAAACAGCAGUUCUAUACAUCAACCGUUACACGAUCCUCAACCUAAAUCAGGGCUUGCACUUGAAAGCACUUUUUGUUCUGUUUAAAAUAAAAGCUCUCCAAAAGGUGGGGAGAGUGGGGGGUACAGCCACAUCAGUUCUCAAAGUACUGUCAACAUAUACCCUUGCCUAACGUGGAGAAAUCUGUGUUCUAUUUUUUGGAUACUCGCUUUUAUUGGGGAAUACAGUAACAAAAAUAUAUGCAUAGAAUUUUAAAAGCUAAACUCCAAUAUGCACAAUAUUUUUAAUAUAUAUUUAUAUAUAUAUAGUAUUACAGAUGUCAUAUAAAUCAAGUAUAGGCCAAAUUUUGGCCCAAUUUUAAGUGCAUUUAGUUUAUUAUAAAAUCCCCUUCAGCCUCUGCUCUUACUUUACAAACUAUUAGCUACCGAAUUAUCUUUUUCAGUGCUGGUUUUAUAAACACCCCUGUUGUAAAUCCUCAUUUCCAUUUCAGGAGUAGCAGCCUUGACUUCCACUAGACUUUCUAACAAAAUAAAGUUCUCAAAAAAAAAACCCCAACCUCAGCGACUAACUCAGUCACAUAGUUUAGUCUGAAUUGCAAGGGCUUCUAACUUAAAUUUACAUUAAUAUUUUCAAGGUAGCAUUCUCCUUUGCACCCUUUGCACUCUUUGAUCUUAAUUAUAUCCUGCAAGCACGCACUUACUACUUUGCUUCAUUUUGUUAAAUGGACUCUUAGCAAUAUGCAAAUUAUUUCAGGUGCAGAACUAAGUGCAAAAACCAUUUUCUAAUGCAUAAUUAACUAGCUUAAAACUCAGCAUCUGAUAUGAGCAUUUUAGACAAUACUUAAAGAGUAAUACCCUCGCUGCCAUGAUACCUCAUUUUGUUUCCAAAUUAAGUUUUGUUCGCCCUUGUUUCACAAAGCAACAUAGGAGGAACAACAAUAGUGACCCAGUUAUCUAUCAAUCCGAUGCAUAUGGUAUUUACAGUAUGUUUUAAAUACGUUCGUAUAUUGGCUGGAACAAAACACACUUAAGCUUUCUACCAGAGUAGGGGGGGAAAAAUGUCUUUAUUUUAAAGGUAACAGAGCACAGGACCUGGCUGCCCAGAGAGGUGCUGGCAUCUCCUUCUUUGGACAUACUUAGAACCCACCUGAACGCUCUCCUGUGCGGCCCACUGUCAGGAACCUGCAUUAGGAAGGGCUGGACUACAUGAUCUCCAGAGGUCCCAUCCAAUUCCUACAACUCUGUGACUCUGUCAAAGAUGUGGCAUUAAAUUAUUCAAUGCAGCUUCCUGCCACAAACAAGUCAAAGGCUCCUCGAGGUCAUUUGUGGAAUAUAGCAGUAAAUUGUAUGACCUAGAAAUACUCUACAUCUUAAAACAAAGGUAAUUAUGGAAAGUUGAGUCUCAGUAACCAAGACUCAGUAACCAGUUCUCCUGCCAUUAUCUCAGCUACUGACAGCAUUCUGGACCUCAUCACUCAGCACUACUAUGGUACAGAGGAAAAAAUAUUAAUUAACUGCUGCCAAUGUACAACCAGUUCCAGCUACUAUGAAACAAACUUUCAAGGUAAGCCCUUUAAAAGUCUUGUAAAAACUGGGCUAAGAGAUCUUAAGAACAGUCUCCCAGAUCUCAAGAGCAAGGAUAUGACAUGUACACCUUAGAAGGUAAGUCACCUAACACACACUAAUUAUUGGAUGCAUUCAGUGUUCAUUCUCAAUGAAAUACAUAUGGAACCGGGUGCAGAAAUCCCAACAACAUUAAUAGGAGCAAGGCAGCAAUGGCCCCUCAUACAACUGAAUUGUUAAACAUCUUAUAUUGCAUGUGAAUCUCCCUUUUGUAUUGAGAAAGCAAAUACUGAAAUAGAGACAACUUUUAACACAACAGAUGUAUUUACAAACAGCAUGCAAGGCCUGUUUCAUGUAUUUGAGCAGCUAAAACAGCCACUGACAGCCCUUAAGUAUUUACAAGUUCAAAACAAUCCUCACAUAAGGAGAAAUACAAGAAGUUCAGGACACUCCUUGGGAAACAAACAAGAAAUGUGUAAAAAACACCAACGAAAGCAAUAAUAAAAUCUAGUAGCAGAGGAAAACGUCAGCUUUUAAAAUCUGGACUAUUUAACACUGUUCUGGUAAGAAGCAAACAAAACCACACAUCACAUUCAAAGAUGCCAUUCAUAAAGAAGUACAUCUUCUUGGUAUCAGGUUGGUUGCUUUGUUUUUAAUUUUCCCUCCAGAAGAAAAGCUGUACCUAAGCUUAAGAAAGAAGUUUCUAAGCGAACAACAUACAACUCCCUUUGGUUUGCCAAUUUACCUUUAUUUCUCAUUUUUAUUUAAAUUUGCAAGGUAAGUAGUAAGGCAAUGUGACCAGAUGCUGAAGAGCCCUGUGGGUGAUUCCAUACAAUAAAGAUGCUUCAGCUGUGGUUCACAGAACGGGAAGCAAAAAUAAGAGCCUUAUGGUAAACAAGAAACAUUUUUCAUAAGGAAAGGUUCUAUAACCUGCAUAUGUGUUGCACUGUGGGUCAGUCCCAUUUGAGGGUCAGCUC